UUAUACAGCGAAACUGCGAAUGGCUCAUUAUAUAAGUAAUCGUUUAUUUGAUAGUACCUUACUACUUGGAUAACCGUGGUAAUUCUAGAGCUAAUACAUGCUAAAAAUCCCGACUUCGGAAGGGAUGUAUUUAUUAGAUUAAAAACCAAUGCCCUCUGGGCUCCUUGGUGAUUCAUGAUAACUCUUCGAAUCGCACGGCCUUGCGCCGGCGAUGGUUCAUUCAAAUUUCUUCCCUAUCAACUUUCGAUGUUUGGGUCUUGGCCAAACAUGGUCGCAACGGGUAACGGAGGGUUAGGGCUCGACCCCGGAGAAGGAGCCUGAGAAACGGCUACUACAUCCAAGGAAGGCAGCAGGCGCGCAAAUUACCCAAUCCCGAUUCGGGGAGGUAGUGACAAUAAAUACUGAUACAGGGCUCUUUUGGGUCUUGUAAUUGGAAUGAGUACAAUUUAAAUCCCUUAACGAGGAACAAUUGGAGGGCAAGUCUGGUGCCAGCAGCCGCGGUAAUUCCAGCUCCAAUAGCGUAUAUUAAAGUUGUUGUGGUUAAAAAGCUCGUAGUUGAACCUUGGGCCUGGCUGGCCGGUCCGCCUCACCGCGUGUACUGGUCCGGCCGGGCCUUUCCCUCUGUGGAACCCCAUGCCCUUCACUGGGUGUGGCGGGGAAACAGGACUUUUACUUUGAAAAAAUUAGAGUGCUCCAGGCAGGCCUAUGCUCGAAUACAUUAGCAUGGAAUAAUGAAAUAGGACGCGUGGUUCUAUUUUGUUGGUUUCUAGGACCGCCGUAAUGAUUAAUAGGGACAGUCGGGGGCAUCAGUAUUCAAUUGUCAGAGGUGAAAUUCUUGGAUUUAUUGAAGACUAACUACUGCGAAAGCAUUUGCCAAGGAUGUUUUCAUUAAUCAGGAACGAAAGUUAGGGGAUCGAAGACGAUCAGAUACCGUCGUAGUCUUAACCAUAAACUAUGCCGACUAGGGAUCGGACGAUGUUAUUUUUUGACG
rnacentral:rRNA from 1 species